rnacentral:rRNA from 1 species
GACGAACGCUGGCGGCGUGCUUAACACAUGCAAGUCGAACGGAAAAGCCCUGCUUUUGUGGGGUGCUCGAGUGGCGAACGGGUGAGUAACACGUGAGUAACCUGCCCUUGACUUUGGGAUAACUUCAGGAAACUGGGGCUAAUACCGGAUAGGAGCUCCUGCUGCAUGGUGGGGGUUGGAAAGUUUCGGCGGUUGGGGAUGGACUCGCGGCUUAUCAGCUUGUUGGUGGGGUAGUGGCUUACCAAGGCUUUGACGGGUAGCCGGCCUGAGAGGGUGACCGGCCACAUUGGGACUGAGAUACGGCCCAGACUCCUACGGGAGGCAGCAGUGGGGAAUAUUGCACAAUGGGCGGAAGCCUGAUGCAGCAACGCCGCGUGCGGGAUGACGGCCUUCGGGUUGUAAACCGCUUUCGCCUGUGACGAAGCGUGAGUGGCGGUAAUGGGUAAAGAAGCACCGGCUAACUACGUG